GAAUUCAUGGCGGGCCCAGGUCACGACCUCUUGGAGGUCGUGGCCCAGGUGUUAUGUGGCGGGCCCAAGCGAAAAACGGCCGAAAGGGGCAUCUUCUGUGUAUUGUGCGGGAGGAUGCCAUGAGAGUAGUUACAGAAACACCGCAGGAAAGCUGCCGAAGGUGGAAUUCUGCCGAUUCCCUUGGAGAAAGUACGAUGACAACCGGAAAGCACGUGGAUCAGGGCUGUGCAACGAUUAAGGUCAGAGAGGCAUCUGUGGCAGCCCGUGUGGGGCGAUAUUCGGAUAUGCAGCGCGCACUUCUUGGGGAACAAAAGGAGCCCCCAUGCAACGAACCCGGCCUAUCUGCCAACGAUAUUUCCGUCGAGUGGCAUACAACAGAGCUCUACGACGAGUCUCGGCAGGCAUGGCGACAGCAGAACAGGCCCAGUCACGGCGAUUUAAAUCUAUGGCGACUCAGACGGACGACACCGCCCAGUGCUACACAGACGGCUCUGCACGAGGCUGCACUUUUCCUGUCAGUGACAUCCGGUGGCUUGGCAUCGACCCAGGUACAGUGUUGCUGAAACUGUACCAUUUUGCUACAAUCAGCAUCUAGCUGGGUCAAGCGUCAUAAAGGUUGCAGUUUGGUAGACGAUUCCCCCUCACCAUUUUGAGCGACAAAAUUCCAUCUUGCGAUAGUGACCUGCGAUAAAGUGGAUGCAUUCAUUGCGCUUCUGUGUUACACCUUUACCACAUAACACCUAUAUCCCCUCCCGUGCAAUUUCCUACUAUAUGGAACAUGGUAAAUGCUAGUUUGUAGUGCUGAGCUCCAGUCAUGGAGGAAAUUAAAUUACCGAAGGCCGAAGGCAUCGCAUUACAUAUAUUUGUUUUGCGUUUUACUGGACAGAUGGCACCACGAUACCAAUUUUGUCUUUCGAGUUCAUACUGUGCCAAAAAAAA